AAAUUCUGCUAGUUUUUUUCUGUAGCAAAUAAAUCUCAUAUAAUAAUACAUUUACAUAUAUUUUUUACAUUUUCUUCGCCAACUUUUUGUACUGGCGGGAUUUCCCACUACCAGUAAAUGCCUCCUUUUUUUUUUUACGACUCCGGCUCACUCGCACGUCUCCGCCCACUUCCCCCAUCGCUGUGGUUAAUUACGGGAAGGGAGACUGAGGAUAAAACACACAGUUAAUAUUGAAACCGAUCUUUGGUUUUGCCUUUGCUGACUGCUGAUCUGAUCGUCUCAAGUCUGGUGACCUGCUGCAGAAGCUCUCUCCCUCUAUCAUUAACAAGCCAUUCAGUCUGUCCUAUCACUCUCCCCACUCUAUCUAUUUUGACAAGCCGUUCUAUCUUGCUUCACUCUAUCCCACAAGCUCUAUCUAAGUUAUCAAAAAUCACGUUUUUAACUGGAAUCAAAUUUUGAAUGGAAUCAAGUUUUGACUGGCAAAAUCAAGUUUUGACAUGGCCCCAUUUUUGGGAAAUUGAAGUUACCAGUACUUCAUCGAUCUGUUACAGAAUUCUGAGAGGUCUCUGCUCUCACUGCUCCUUCUUUCCUGUCGUUAAACUCUCUCACAUCCAGUCUUUUUGCUGGAAAUUACAAGUAGAAAGUUGAAAUUACAAUAGUAGAAUUACAGUACAGUGGAAACUAAUUACACAGCUGUAGAUUUGUAAUUUUAAUUUUUACUUGGAACACUUUGGAAUAAACACUGAUAGUUUGGCUUAGAGGUGCAAUUACUUUGAUACAUCAUAUAAAAUUUACACUUUAAAGGUUUUUUGUAAUAAGAUAAACUUAUUUUAUACGACAUUCAGACUGCUGUAUUCACAAAAAUAUUAAAUUAGAUAACUAAAGAUACAUUUUGCUAGUCUGUUUCAUUGUCAGUAACAUUUGACUAUAGUAGGGUUAUACUAUUAUUAUUUAGGGACAAAUCAAUUUCUGUUACUCAGUGUAAGUGUUCAGAUACAAUUGCCAUCGAAAAGCUGCCCUGAGGACCCAGACUUCUGUUUCCUGACUGCUGCAGAACAUCCAGCUGAAGAAUCCCCAUCGCCUGUCAUCUGAUCACCACAUCACCACAGCUGUUUAUAUUUGCUUUACAUUUUAGAUAUCUGAAAGAUUUACACACGCUCUACUUAAAACCUAAGAGUUUUAUUAUAGCCUGUUGAUUAUUGUGAUUUAUUCUGUAUAUCCCUUUACAGAAGCUAAGAUCUAGUCAUUAACAAGUCUGGUUAAAAUAUCAGAAGUAAAAAUAUUCUGUUUUGGGAAAAGAUACAAUAAAACUGA